rnacentral:rRNA from 1 species
AUGAACGCUGGCGGCGUGCUUAACACAUGUAAGUCGAACGGAAAGGCCCAAGCUUGCUUGGGUACUCGAGUGGCGAACGGGUGAGUAACACGUGGGUGAUCUGUCCUGCACUUCGGGAUAAGCCUGGGAAACUGGGUCUAAUACCGGAUAGGACCACAUUUUGGAUGGUGUGGUGGAAAGUUUUUCGGUGUGGGAUGAGCUCGCGGCCUAUCAGCUUGUUGGUGGGGUAAUGGCCUACCAAGGCGUCGACGGGUAGCCGGCCUGAGAGGGUGUACGGCCACAUUGGGACUGAGAUACGGCCCAGACUCCUACGGGAGGCAGCAGUGGGGAAUAUUGCACAAUGGGCGCAAGCCUGAUGCAGCGACGCCGCGUGGGGGAUGACGGCCUUCGGGUUGUAAACUCCUUUCGCUAGGGACGAAGCGUUAUGUGACGGUACCUGGAGAAGAAGCACCGGCUAACUACGUG